rnacentral:rRNA from 1 species
UACGUAGGGGGCAAGCGUUGUCCGGAUUUAUUGGGCGUAAAGAGCGUGUAGGCGGCUUUACAGGUCCGUUGUGAAAACUCGAGGCUCAACCUCGAGACGCCGGUGGAAACCGUAAGGCUAGAGUCCGGAAGAGGAGAGUGGAAUUCCUGGUGUAGCGGUGAAAUGCGCAGAUAUCAGGAAGAACACCGGUGGCGAAGGCGGCUACCUGGCCUAAGACUGACGCUGAGGUGCGAAAGCGUGGGGAGCGAACGGG